ACGGAGGGUGCAAGCGUUAUCCGGAUUUAUUGGGUUUAAAGGGUCCGUAGGCGGAUUCGUAAGUCAGUGGUGAAAUCUCAUAGCUUAACUAUGAAACUGCCAUUGAUACUGCGAGUCUUGAGUGAGAUUGAGGUAGCUGGAAUAAGUAGUGUAGCGGUGAAAUGCAUAGAUAUUACUUAGAACACCAAUUGCGAAGGCAGGUUACCAAGUCUUAACUGACGCUGAUGGACGAAAGCGUGGGGAGCGAACAG
rnacentral:rRNA from 1 species